CCCUUCUUUUUAGACUUAAUUAAUGAUAUGGCUUGGAGUUUCUGUUGUUUGUCUUUGGUUGUUUGGUUGUUUGGUUGGUUGUUUGGUUGGUUGUUUGGUUGGUUGGUUGGUUGGUUGUUUGGUUGUUUGGUUGGUUGUUUGGUUGUUUGUUUGGUUGGUUGGUUGGUUGUUUGGUUGUUUGUUUGUUUGGUUGGUUGGUUGGUUGUUUGGUUGUUUGGUUGGUUGUUUGGUUGUUUGUUUGUUUGGUUGGUUGGUUGGUUGUUUGGUUGUUUGUUUGUUUGGUUGGUUGGUUGGUUGGUUGGUUUUGUGGUACUGGAGAUUUUCUCCAACACUGUGAGGAGUUUGUGGGUCCUUCUCCCCAGGCCUGCACCAGAGCAGUGAAUGAGGUCACAGUUGCAUGAUGGAACAAACGCUUUGUUGGGCCCUUGAUCUGACUGAAGGCCCAAAGCAGUGAGUAGCACAGCGCAAAAGUAGACCCAGUCACUGGCCACAUGGCAGUUUCAGAACUCAAAUCAAAACUUAAACUGAACCCUCUAAAAGUACCUGUCUUCCACAGCAAGAGGGAUAAAGAUCUACCGAGGUCCCUUCCAGGCCAGCCACACCACAAAGAAAAGUUGAGCCCACCACAAAUGGAAGCCUUCCAAGACGCCUACAACUUCUUCAGCAAGGACAAAACUGGAUGUAUUGAUCUGAAUGGGAUGAUGAGUACUUUGGCUAAGUUAGGAAUGAGUCUAACCAAGCACGAUGUCUAUAAUGAACUAAAAUGUGCUGACCUUGAUCGAGAUGGGAAGGUGAACUUCUCAGACUUCUUAAAGGUGCUGACAGAUAAGAACCGCUUCCUCAAAGCUGUGGUUCCGGAAAAGGACAUCUGUUUAAAUUUAAGUGACAACGCAGGGAUCCUAUUAUUUGAAAUCCUAUCAAAGCUUAUAGAGACUUCAGCCCUACCCAGAAAGACUAUAAUGGACAUAGUAAGCUACUUCCGAAGAAAAUUCCAGGAUAUCAGUGCAGAAAUGCUGUGGAAUCCGAGUGCUGUGGGUUAUGGGAAAAGAAGGUUUAAGCCAGAUGUGUGCACGACUUCCAGCUCAAGCACAGCGGCCUUCGCCAGUGCUGCCCGCAUUGCAAUUACAAGUGAAAAGGAUUUAUUUAAAUUUCUUGAAGAGCUUAAGAGGUGCAAUUUCCCUUCAGACAGCCCGUACUCGAAAAUACCCAUCUUCCCGUUGUUCCCUAACAUGGAUGGUAUGGUGAUGGGAAAACCUUUCAAAGACACACAGAAAUUAGAGAUGCUAAGGAGAAAAGAGCCCCUGAAUUUCUUUGAGGACUACUUUUUCCAUAGAAGAGACUGGAAAGCACAGGCAGCCAAUGUAAAGCCUAUCAACCCUCCCUUGAGCUACUCGGAUGACAUCCUUAUCCUCGACCAAAUACUCAAGAAAAAGCAGAUGUGGACAGUGGCCGACACAGCUGCUGUUAAGCAGCAGGUGAAGAGAGCUACAGACACCUAUCAUUUAGGAAUUGCCCUUGAACACCAGAAAGGAAUGCUCAAUCUCUGGCAGAAGAUCCGAGGGGAUUUGAUUGGAAUAGACACUAAAAAUGAGUCUUUCUAUGACACCUUUUCUACUUAUACCUGGUCCUGGAACGUUUGCCAAGAAUUGCUCUCUCCGAAGGACUUACGGUUGUUUAAUGCUUACGUGAACAGAAAUUCCUACCCCACCUAUGGCUUCUCUUCCUCAUCAGAUAACAGUGAAUGUGACUCCGAGACCGAAAGGAAAAGAAAACGGAAAAAUUGCAAAGGGUUUCGACAAUGAAAUUUCUACAUUUUCUAAACAGCUCAUCGAAAACUACUUUUUCAUAAGUAUCAAAAUUAUGGUUUCUUGCUUUUCUCUAGUACAUUCUUAGCAGCUGGAAAUGUUGACAUCUUUUGGAUUCCAGCCAGUAAAACAGCUUAACUCAUAAAAUGGUUUCGUUUUCCUAAAUCUUGACAAGUCGGCAGACGUCAUGCGGUUAGUUCCAGCUGUAUUCUGCUGCCCCCGCCUGGCAUAAAAGUGACAGGCCUCAGCAGGAAAGGGAGAAAUCACGCCCUCUGAGACCCUAAGGGAUAAACAGUUGAGCUUUGGGUGACUGUAAGUGAAAUUCAGUUUUCAAAUGCUGUGAAAUAAGCCAGAGGCAGCAGAUGACUAUAAACUUGCCAUUUCGGGGGGUGAUAUCACCAACCCCGCCCCAGGAACCUUGUUUAAAUGUGGGCGUAUUCCUGAGGCUCCACAGCCAUACACCUCCACACCUAUUGCAUGGAUUUCUCUUACAAAUAGUCGAUCUCAUCCAUUAAAUGUUGUUAUUCUUUAAUGAAUCUAAUAUAUAUAUAUAUGAUAUAAAUAUAUCAUAUAUAUGGCAAGUUUGUGCUAGGAUUGUAAUUUUUACUAUGGUAAAAUUUACAUGACAUAAAAUUUACUAUUUUUUAAAUUUUUAUUAUAAUUUACUAUUGAUUAAUGUUAAAGUAUACAUCAAUCAUUGCAUUUUUAUUCUUCCUAGUCCCACUCCUGGGAUUCAUAGGGCAUUUUUCCAUGGGUCUUGAGGGUUGAUCACACAGAAACAGACAACUUUUGGACUUUACCAAAUUUUUUAAUUGUUUAAUUUAAUUAGUAUAAUUUAGAUAUCUACAGUGACCCCAUUCAUCAUAGGGAAUUUGCACCUGUACAUAAUAUACCUUGAUUUGUCUUUUUCCCCUCCCUUCAACCCCUUGUCCCCUCCUUAUUUACAAAGCUUUGUUUCCAUUUUAUCCUCCUUUUCUCAGAUUUUCUUCCCCCUUUCCCCUUCCCCAGUUCCCUUCCCUUUUGGGCAGCUGCUUCCCAUUUCACCAGAUCUCUUGUACAAUUUAGUUCUUAUUUACACUUUUGGUUUCUCACACCAGUGAGGCAAUGCAAUAUUUACACACGUGUAUACAAUUUAUUUCACUUAAGAGCACAGUCUCAGGGCCCAUCCAUUUAGCAAUAAAUGUCACAAGUUUAUCCUUCAUUAUGGCAGAGUAGUAGUCCAUUUUAUUUUAAAAAAAAAAACAUCUUUUUUAUCCAUUCCUCAGUUGACGGGCAUCUGAGUUGUUUCCAAGAUUUAGCUAUUACAAAUUGUGCUGCUAUAAACAUGGGUGUGCUUGUAUCAUUGUGGUAUGAUGCUUUUAAUUCUUUUGGGAAAAUACCCAGAAGAAGAAUAGCUGGUGAAAUGGGGCCUCUAGUCUUAGUUUUUGAGGAAUCUCCACACUGAUUUCCACAGUGGCUGCAGAAGUCUACACCCCAACAAAGUAGAGAAGGGUUCCCUUUUCCCCACAGCCCAGCCAGCAUUUGUUGUGGGUUGAUUUCAUAAUAGUCGUUCUUUCUGGAGUGAGAUGGAAUCUCAGGGUUGUUUUAAUUUGCAGCUCUUGAAUGAUCAAUGAUCCCACACUAAAUCUUAUAUUAACCUUCUGAUCUACUAUCAGAAAGUCAAAUAUGUGUUAUUUCCUCUGCUAGUUUUGAUCUUAAAAAUGUAAGGAAUUACAUCAACUGUGGUUCUGGGGGGGAGUUUUAGGGGGGUACCAGGAACCGAACUCAGGACCUCACUCUUGCCAGGCAGGAGCUGAACAUCAACUAUUUGUAACAAUUAUCCAAGCGACUAGUUUGCAGGUGUGUGGGUAAGGCCAUUCCAAUUACCAUCUAGAAUAAAUAUUUUUAAAUCAUUAUUCUAGAAAAACAUGAUGCACGAAAAAGAAAAGGAACCAGGUGUGGUGGCACAUGCCUGAAAUCCAAGCUCCUGGCAGACUGAGGCAGAAGGAUCACCAUGAGUUUGGGACCGGCAUGGGCUCCAUAGUGAGCUCAAGGCCAGCCUGCACUGCAUAAAGCAAGAUUCUGUCUCAAAAAAUCAAAAAAAAAAAAAAAAUCAAGAAGAUAUUGAUAAUGACAGAUUACAACACAAAAGUAUAAAAUUCCAGGAAAAAGCAAUGAAGUUAACGCCCCCAAAACUCUUCACUGAAAUAGGUUUCAUGUGACUUUGUGCUACCCCGAACCCUCAGAAGUGUCUAACUACACCUGCGAGCCGAGCACAGUGCCACGUCUGUAGCCCCAGCUACUCGGAAGGCUGUGGCAGGGUAACGCGAGCCCAGCAUGAGCAAAACACAAAAACUACAUCUCCAAAACUAAAUACACACACACACACACACACACACACACACACACACACACGCAACACCAACUUCUGUGUAAAGUUCUAAUUCUUGGGAAAAGAACUAACCUUAUAGAGAAGUAACCACAUCUUUUGACCAAAAAAGUUAAUGGUUUGACAAGAGACUUUCUUGAGUUGCUGUGGGUAUGACAGAAUCCAGGACCUAUAAUUUGGAUGCCAAAAUAUUAGAAUUACUGGACUAUUUCCUUAGAUCGAUGAAUGACAGGACAAAACACUGGGGUUUUUUGCAAUGUUUUAUUGUGUUUUGUUUUAUUUUGUUUUUUGAGAUAGGGUCUUGCUGUGUAGUUGAAGCUGGCCUUGAGCUCACUGUGUAAUCCAAGCUGGCCUCAAACUCAUGGCAAUCCUUCUGCCUCAGCCUUCCAAGUGCUAGGAUUACAAGCAUGUAAUAGUGUUAAGUAGAUCUGUCCUAGAAAAUUAAAACUUAUACCAACUCUUACUAUUACAAUGUCACACACUGCAAAUGACAGUAUAAACUGGCACCUCUGAUGGAAUACAGUGUAGGAACAGGGCCUGGCAUGGUGGCACACCCCUGUAAUCCUAGCAUUCUGGGAAGCUGAGGCAG
ensembl:lincRNA